rnacentral:lncRNA from 1 species
CUCAGCUGCUGGCUGGAACUCCCGGAGGACUCUGUGAGGAUGCAGGUAGAAGAGGGAAGCCCACCAGAGCCCUCUUCUCUCUGGGGAGGAGCUGGCUCCCUGAAUCUCCAAGACAAACCCAGACAGCCCUGGGGACCUUGAAUGUGAGCAAGGGGAGCAGAAAGGAGGCUCCAGCCCACCCAGGGCCCCUGCAGGGUCUGCACACACAAUUACAGGUCCUCAUUUCCCUCUCCUAAUGAUGCCCCAAAACAUUAAGGGAAGUUAAAUCAAACCACCAGGUGUCCAGCAUGAACAGC